rnacentral:lncRNA from 1 species
AGAAGAGGAAGAUGGGGUGAAUACGGAAAACUUUCAGGAGUUCAUCAGACAAGCAAGUGAGGCUGAACUGGAGGAGGUGUUGACUUUUUAUACCCAAAAGAACAAGUCUGCUAGUGUCUUCCUGGGGACUCACUCUAAAAGUUCUAAGAACAACAACAGUUAUUCUGAUAGUGGGGCAAAAGGUGAUCACCCUGAGACUAUAAUGGAAGAAGUGAAAAUAAAGCCACCUAAACAGCAACAGACAACAGAAAUUCAUUCUGAUAAAUUAUCUCGUGAGUGAUUUCAAACCUACCUAGAUUUGCUGCUCUGU